GGCAGAGGAGGCUCACCACAGGGCACGUGCAGAGUGCAAUAGCUCCAGGCCCUUGGGAAGGUCUGAGGCUGGAGCUCCAAGUGAGCUCUCCCAAGUGCAGAGGAGAAUUCCCAGAGAGCAGAGCUCCCUGGGCUGGGCGGACUGGACAGGAGAAGGAGGCAGAAGCAAUGCAUGACUGUAGUAAACUAUUUUAUUCACAAAAUACAAUAAGAAGGACUUAUUUACUUUUACCAAAUCUUGGGCCCUGUAGAGUUACCUUCUUUAGAUUUUGUAGAGUUAUUUGCUUUUAUAAGAACCAAUCCCCUUAUC
rnacentral:RNase_P_RNA from 1 species